GAGCUCAAGGUGUGCUUGUUCGCGUGAAUACGACAAUUCACUGGUUGAAAAAUGUAGUUCCACAGCAGCACAUCGCUCAGCUUCCUCCCAGCUGCUUCUCCAAACUGAGAGCUGGCUGAUCCGGAUCUACUAGAGGCAGGGCAUCUCAAUGACGAAGCCUCUUGGAUGGAGGCUGAAAUAUGUACAAACACCCACACAGACCAGAACCAGCUGGCCAUUAACAACAGCAGAACUGUCCGUAAUGAUUUCACCUGUCAAGUGUGAUCCUGCUGCGUGAAGCUGCAUACAGCAGAGUGCUAUGGCCACCGGGAGUUUCAAGUCAGCGUUGACAAAUGGCCAAGCCUGGCAGUGGAUCAGCAGACUGGAGGGCUGUCUGAGUUAUCACUCCACCAGCAGACACUAUUACAGCCACUGGGUUUGUCUGCAGGCUGCUGUACUCGCUCAGUCAUCGUCUCACUUGCUUCUACUGUCUUCCUCCUCUGUCAGCCUGUUUCUCUUUCUCCUUAUCACUUGUAAUUCUAAAUGCGAAGUCAAAGAUGCCUCAGCGGCAUGGCUCUUCAAAAGUUAACAAUAACACCAAAAGAUGGCAACUGUUAAAAAAGAUACGCGGGGUUGGGAUGACUCAACAUGCUUGCCUUUCUUUCCUGUAACACCCUGCCUCACUUUCACAUUUAUAUUUAAAGUUGCUCAAGUGUAGCCAGUAGUUGCAAUGUAGUUUUUCUGCAACUGAUCCUGACAAGGCCCGAUCCUGUCAGAAAAUCCAGCUUGAUUCUGUUUCAUUUUUUAAUAAAGACUUCAGGCUUGGGUCAAACUCAGCACAUUUUUUGACUGAUUAAAUUUCAUGGCUAUGCACUGUAAGUCAUUAUAUUUUA